CCUACUUUUCCCUGCAGUGGGGAAUAUUGGACAAUGGGGGCAACCCUGAUCCAGCCAUGCCGCGUGUGUGAAGAAGGCCCUCGGGUUGUAAAGCACUUUCAGUGAGGAAGAACGCCUGGUGGUUAAUACCCAUCAGGAAAGACAUCACUCACAGAAGAAGCACCGGCUAACUCCGUGCCAGCAGCCGCGGUAAUACGGAGGGUGCGAGCGUUAAUCGGAAUUACUGGGCGUAAAGCGCGCGUAGGUGGCUUGAUAAGCCGGUUGUGAAAGCCCCGGGCUCAACCUGGGAACGGCAUCCGGAACUGUCAAGCUAGAGUGCAGGAGAGGAAGGUAGAAUUCCCGGUGUAGCGGUGAAAUGCGUAGAGAUCGGGAGGAAUACCAGUGGCGAAGGCGGCCUUCUGGACUGACACUGACACUGAGGUGCGAAAGCGUGGGUAGCAAACAGGAUUAGAUACCCCUGUAGUC
rnacentral:rRNA from 1 species